rnacentral:lncRNA from 1 species
CUAGGGUAAAAUGGAAGUUGUGAUGGCAGAGAAAAAAAGAAUAAACAGAUACACUAAACACAUGAGAUAGACAAAAGCAGCCUCUCAUACUUGUAUCCUUUCUACAGAAAUAUACAGGUGAAGAGGUUCAGGACACCUGAAAGAGCAGGGAAAAAACUUCACACAGAAGAUGGCCUCUCAGAUGUAGGUGAAGAUACAGGGAAAGAACAUGACACUGGAGAUGGGGAAGAGCUGCAGCUCGAGCACAGACAUUUCGAAGUCCUUCCUUUUGCUGGGACCUACGAGAGAAGAGAAAAAUCCACACCAAUCUUCUCAUAAUCCUUCUCAAGAGCAGCCUCAUCCUCCCAAGUCUCAGAACAUUUUCCUUCCUCCAUGUCUCACCUAUACACCAGUGAACAAAGGCAUGCUUGGCAUACAUCAAACUUGUAGUCUAGGUGAACCCAGGCCUCAACAAUGGCUGUGGCAUUGCUCACCAAGCACACAGCUUGUACUUUGGCCAGUUCCCUAUCAGGUACUACAGUGGAAGGCUGAUAAUGAAUGCCAACUUUGAAGCCAGUGGGGCAACAGUCCACAAAUUGGAUGGACUCUUGGUCUUGACGGUGGCAAUGGCAGCACUGAUAUCUUUGGGAACCACCACAUCAUGGUACAACAGGCAGCAAGCCACAUAUUUACUAUGGUGAGGGUCACAUUUCACCAUCUGACUGGCUGGCUUAAACCAUGCAUUGGUAAUCUCUGCUACAGAAAUCUGUUAAUGGUAGGCUUUCUCAGCAGAAAUGACAUGCACAUAUGUGGCUAGAAGGAAAUGGAUGGGG